CGUGUAGGCGGCCUAAUAAGUUAGAAGUGAAACCUAUCAGCUCAACUGAUAGCCUGCUUCUAAAACUGCUAAGCUUGAGUGCAGAAGAGGGGAGUGGAAUUCCCAGUGUAGCGGUGAAAUGCGUAGAUAUUGGGAGGAACACCAGUGGCGAAAGCGGCUCCCUGGUCUGUAACUGACGCUGAGGCGCGAAAGCGUGGGUAGCAAACA
rnacentral:rRNA from 1 species